UGUUAAAAAAAUUAUCCAUCUAUACUGUUAAAAGCUAACGUGACUGAUAGAAUAACUAGACAGGGAUACGUGACAUGCCACGUGUACAUCAUAUUUACAUACAAGAUCAGUUUUUAACGGGAAAAAUGAAUGAGAUUUUUAAUA
rfam:Gossypium hirsutum cultivar TM-1 unplaced genomic scaffold scaffold26.1, whole genome shotgun sequence